AUACUUACCUGGUUGAAAAUAUAAGUGAUCACUAUCAGGCUUAUAUUUUGCAUGGAUUUUAGACCAUAGCACUCCGGUUUGGUCUGUGUAUGAUUUUCUAUACAGAAAAUUCAUCAACCUAAUUUAUCAAGUGGUGGAAUUUGCGUUCGCGCAGAGUCCACU
rfam:Dictyostelium purpureum unplaced genomic scaffold DICPTscaffold_340, whole genome shotgun sequence.